GCCGAAGUGGUGAAAUUGGCAGACACGUACGGUUCAGGUCCGUAUGGGAGCAAUCCCUUGUGGGUUCGAAUCCCAUCUUCGGCA
rnacentral:tRNA from 1 species